UGGGGAAUAUUGGACAAUGGGCGAAAGCCUGAUCCAGCGACGCCGCGUGGGUGAAGAAGGCCUGCGGGUUGUAAAGCCCUUUCGGUAGGGACGAAAGCCUCCGACCUAACACGUCGGGGGGUUGACUUAACCUACAAAAGAAGCACCGGCUAACUCUGUGCCAGCAGCCGCGGUAAUACAGAGGGUGCAAGCGUUAAUCGGAAUUACUGGGCGUAAAGCGCACGUAGGCGGCUUGGCAUGUCGGGUGUGAAAUCCCCGGGCUCAACCUGGGAACUGCAUCCGAAACUGCCUUGCUAGAGUAUGGGAGAGGGAAGUGGAAUUUCCGGUGUAGCGGUGAAAUGCGUAGAUAUCGGAAGGAACAUCAGUGGCGAAGGCGACUUCCUGGACCAAUACUGACGCUCAGGUGCGAAAGCGUGGGGAGCAAACAGGAUUAGAUACCCUGGUAGUCCACGCCCUAAACGAUGAGAACUGGAUGUCGGGAGGAUUUGCCUUCCGGUGUCGUAGCUAACGCGUUAAGUUCUCCGCCUGGGAAGUACGGCCGCAAGGUUG
rnacentral:rRNA from 1 species